GGGGGGCACAGUGGGGAAUUUUGGACAAUGGGCGAAAGCCUGAUCCAGCAAUGCCGCGUGCAGGAUGAAGGCCUUCGGGUUGUAAACUGCUUUUGUACGGAACGAAAAAGCUCCUUCUAAUACAGGGGGCCCAUGACGGUACCGUAAGAAUAAGCACCGGCUAACUACGUGCCAGCAGCCGCGGUAAUACGUAGGGUGCGAGCGUUAAUCGGAAUUACUGGGCGUAAAGCGUGCGCAGGCGGUUAUGUAAGACAGAUGUGAAAUCCCCGGGCUCAACCUGGGAACUGCAUUUGUGACUGCAUGGCUAGAGUACGGUAGAGGGGGAUGGAAUUCCGCGUGUAGCAGUGAAAUGCGUAGAUAUGCGGAGGAACACCGAUGGCGAAGGCAAUCCCCUGGACCUGUACUGACGCUCAUGCACGAAAGCGUGGGGAGCAAACAGGAUUAGAUACCCUGGUAGUCCACGCCCUAAACGAUGUCAACUGGUUGUUGGGAAUUAGUUUUCUCAGUAACGAAGCUAACGCGUGAAGUGACCGCCUGGG
rnacentral:rRNA from 1 species